AUUUACCUUAAGUUGGGUUGAGAAUAAUUGUAUGUGUUGAAAAGGUUCAAGUUUGGGGUUGUAUGGGGAAAGUGAAAGGCAGAAGAAAAAGCAUUGAGUUCAAAAGUUGAAAAAGAAAAAUGCAUGAGAAAAAGAAAUCAAAAGAAGAAAAGAGAAAAAGCAUGUAAAGUGAGCUCAAUGUAAAAGGAAAAAGGGAAGAAGUUGGGAAUGAAUGAGAUUGGUUAAAAGGAGAGUGUGCUUGAACUUUGAAUGAUGAUUUAAACUCUCUUAACUCAAGGAUUUUGUAUUCUAGAAAAACAUUUUUUCUUGAUAGCCCAGCCACAUUACAAGCCUUGGAAAAAGUCCUUGUGAUGACAUUUGGAUGUGAAGAUUUUGAUUGUUUUAGAUGAAGGGAAAUAUUGUUUGAUGUGACAUGUGAACAAUAGAGAGUAGAGUGACCUCCUAAAACACUUGAGUGAUUGAGUGAAACACUUGAUUGGUGAGAAUUG
rnacentral:lncRNA from 1 species